rnacentral:rRNA from 1 species
AUGGACACACUAUCUUCAUGUCUUCUAGCAGCAGGCGCUAUCACCUUCUCCUUUGACACCAGGUACCAAGAGUGGAGGUGUCUUGGGGAAUGGUCAUUGCCUUUCCAAGGACAAGGCUACUUUGACAGUGAGCUGGAUGCAUGGGUUGGCCUUCACAAGGAUGGGUACAUUUGUUCCUGCCAAGUCGCUUCCUGCACCGACAAAGGUACCAUGCAACCUGACUGGAAGAUGGGCAAGGAGAAACUUUUCCUCAAGCACUCGGAUGCCACCCUCAUAUACAUGGGGAGCACCAGGUUUUGCCUUGUAGAGAGUUUGGUACGUGAAGAACUGGAGUUUGAUGACGCCUUUGGUGACUGUAAUGGCUUCAUGCUCUGCAUCACCAUUUUUGGUGUCAAGUACAACCGUGAGGGAGAGCUGCAAACCACCAUCCGCCGCACCACCAAAUCCUAUCAAGUGUCUAAGCAUGUCUUGUCAUUUUCUCCUGUGGCGUUCUGGUUUUAG